GGCGGUUCUCAGGUGAAGCAGUCCGGAAUUGGGCUCCCUCCUCUCUGGUUCUGGGUGCAUCACUCGAGAAACGCA
rfam:Myotis davidii contig215035, whole genome shotgun sequence.